rnacentral:rRNA from 1 species
UGGGGAAUAUUGCGCAAUGGGCGAAAGCCUGACGCAGCGACGCCGCGUGAGUGAAGAAGGCCUUCGGGUUGUAAAGCUCUGUCAGAGGGAAAGAAUACUCCUGGUAACCCCAGUAGUUGACGGUACCCUUGAAGGAAGCACUGGCUAACUCCGUGCCAGCAGCCGCGGUAAUACGGAGAGUGCAAGCGUUGUUCGGAAUUAUUGGGCGUAAAGCGCGUGUAGGCGGCUUGAUAAGUCUGGCGUGAAAGCC